rnacentral:rRNA from 1 species
AAUAGAUACCCAGGUAGUCCACGCCGUAAACGAUGGAUACUAGCUGUCCGGCGCAAGCUGGGUGGCUAAGCGAAAGUGAUAAGUAUCCCACCUGGGGAGUACGUUCGCAAGAAUGAAACUCAAAGGAAUUGACGGGGGCCCGCACAAGCGGUGGAGCAUGUGGUUUAAUUCGAUGAUACGCGAGGAACCUUACCAGGGCUUAAAUGUAGUGGGACAGGUCCAGAGAUGGGCCCUUCUUCGGACUCAUUACAAGGUGCUGCAUGGUUGUCGUCAGCUCGUGCCGUGAGGUGUCAGGUUAAGUCCUAUAACGAGCGCAACCCCUGUCGUUAGUUGCCAGCGAGUGAAGUCGGGAACUCUAACGAGACUGCCGGUGCAAACCGUGAGGAAGGUGGGGAUGACGUCAAAUCAUCACGGCCCUUACGUCCUGGGCUACACACGUGCUACAAUGGCCGGUACAGAGAGCAGCCACGCCGCAAGGCGGAGCGAAUCUACAAAAACCGGUCACAGUUCGGAUCGGGGUCUGCAACUCGA